rnacentral:rRNA from 1 species
AUUGAACGCUGGCGGCAGGCCUAACACAUGCAAGUCGAGCGAGCGGCGGACGGGUGAGUAAUGUCUGGGAAACUGCCUGAUGGAGGGGGAUAACUACUGGAAACGGUAGCUAAUACCGCAUACCAUCAGACGUGCCCAGAUGGGAUUAGCUAGUAGGUGGGGUAACGGCGCACCUAGGCGACGAUCCCUAGCCGGUCUGAGAGGAUGACCAGCCACACGGGAACGGAGACACGGUCCAGACUCCUACGGGAGGCGGCAGGGGGGAAUAUGGCACAAGGGGCGGAAGCCUGAUGCAGCCAUGCCGGGUGUGUGAGGGAGGCCUUCGGGUUGUAAGGCACUUUCAGCGGGGAGGCGUUACCCGCAGAAGAAGCACCGGCUAACUCCGUGCCAGCAGCCGCGGUAAUUC